CUAACAGAAAUUAAUGUAAGUAUCAGCUGCUCAUGAAAUAAUAAAUAGCCGCAAAUUUGUGCUAAGGUAGCAUAAUAAUUUGCCUUUUAAUUGGAGGAUAGAAUGAAAGGUAUAACAUAUAGAAAACUUUAUUAAUUUCUUUCUUUAAACCUGACUUUUUAGUAAAAAGGCUAAAAUAAUAAAGAGGACGACAAGACCCUGACAAACUUUACACUUUUGUUUUACUGGGGGGGUAAAAAAACUUUAUCUUUUAUAUAUAAUGACCAAAAAAUAUUCAUUUAAGUUACUGCAGGGAUAACAGCAUAAUUUUUUCCAAAAGAUCUUAUAUAAGAAAAAGUUUGUGACCUCGAUGUUGAAUUAGGAAUCUACAAAGAGCAAAACCUUUGCAAGUAAGUCUGUUCGACUUUUAAUAUCCUACAUGAUUUGAGUUCAGACCGGCGUAAGCCAGGUCGGUUUCUAUCUCUUUUUAAAAAUUCUUAGUACGAAAGGACCAGAAUUUCAAUUUUUCAUUAAC
rnacentral:rRNA from 1 species